rnacentral:misc_RNA from 1 species
GAUGAAGAACGCAGCGAAAUGCGAUAAGUAAUGUGAAUUGCAGAAUUCAGUGAAUCAUCGAAUCUUUGAACGCACCUUGCGCUCUUUGGUAUUCCGAAGAGCGUGCCUGUUUGAGUGUCAUGAAAAUAUCAACCUUGACUUGGGUUUUGUGCUCUAGUCUCGGCUUGGAAUUGGGUGCUUGCCGCUUUUACGAGCGGCUCACCUUAAAUGUAUUAGCUGGAUCUGUCUUUGAGACUUGGUUUGACUUGGCGUAAUAAGUAUUUCGCUAAGGACAUUCUUCGGAGUGGCCUCGUUUCUAGGACGCUUGUCCGCUUUCCAAUACAAGUUCCACCUCGUGGACAUGACUUUUUAUUAUCUGGCCUCAAAUCAGGUAGGACUACCCGCUGAACUUAAGCAUAUCAAUAAGCGGAGGA